rnacentral:rRNA from 1 species
UAGAUACAAGCGAGCGGCGGACGGGUGAGUAACACGUGGGUAACCUGCCCAAGAGACUGGGAUAACACCUGGAAACAGAUGCUAAUACCGGAUAACAACACUAGACGCAUGUCUAGAGUUUAAAAGAUGGUUCUGCUAUCACUCUUGGAUGGACCUGCGGUGCAUUAGCUAGUUGGUAAGGUAACGGCUUACCAAGGCAAUGAUGCAUAGCCGAGUUGAGAGACUGAUCGGCCACAUUGGGACUGAGACACGGCCCAAACUCCUACGGGAGGCAGCAGUAGGGAAUCUUCCACAAUGGACGCAAGUCUGAUGGAGCAACGCCGCGUGAGUGAAGAAGGGUUUCGGCUCGUAAAGCUCUGUUGGUAGUGAAGAAAGAUAGAGGUAGUAACUGGCCUUUAUUUGACGGUAAUUACUUAGAAAGUCACGGCUAACUACGUGCCAGCAGCCGCGGUAAUACGUAGGUGGCAAGCGUUGUCCGGAUUUAUUGGGCGUAAAGCGAGUGCAGGCGGUUCAAUAAGUCUGAUGUGAAAGCCUUCGGCUCAACCGGAGAAUUGCAUCAGAAACUGUUGAACUUGAGUGCAGAAGAGGAGAGUGGAACUCCAUGUGUAGCGGUGGAAUGCGUAGAUAUAUGGAAGAACACCAGUGGCGAAGGCGGCUCUCUGGUCUGCAACUGAC